rnacentral:rRNA from 1 species
GAUGGCGACCGGCGCACGGGUGCGUAACACGUAUCCAAUCUGCCCGUUACUCGGGGAUAGGCUUUCGAAAGAAAGAUUAAUACCCGAUGUAAUGUCAUUGCGGCAUCGUGGUGACAUUAAAGAUUCAUCGGUAACGGAUGAGGAUGCGUAUGAUUAGUUAGUUGGCGGGGUAACGGCCCACCAAGGCGACGAUCAUUAGGGGUUCUGAGAGGAAGGUCCCCCACACUGGAACUGAGACACGGUCCAGACUCCUACGGGAGGCAGCAGUGAGGAAUAUUGGUCAAUGGACGAGAGUCUGAACCAGCCAAGUAGCGUGAAGGAAUACAGCCCUAUGGGUUUUAAACUUCUUUUGUAUGGGACUAAAAGAGUGUACGUGUACGCUAUUGCAUGUACCAUACGAAUAAGCAUCGGCUAACUCCGUGCCAGCAGCCGCGGUAAUACGGAGGAUGCGAGCGUUAUCCGGAUUUAUUGGGUUUAAAGGGAGCGUAGACGGGUCGUUAAGUCAGCUGUGAAAGUUUGAGGCUCAACCUUAAAAUUGCAGUUGAUACUGGCGUCCUUGAGUACGGUUGAGGCAGGCGGAAUUCGUGGUGUAGCGGUGAAAUGCAUAGAUAUCACGAAGAACUCCGAUU